AUCUACAAUUGUUUUACUGUAGUGGAGCAGGCGUAUCUACAAUUGUCUUACUGUAGUGGAGCAGUGGAGCAGGUGGGUGGUGGAGCAGGUGGGUCUACAAUUGUCUUACUGUAGUGGAGCAGGUGGAUCUACAAUUGUCUUACUGUGGUGGAGCAGGUGGAUCUACAAUUGUCUUACUGUGGUGGAGCAGGUAGAUCUACAAUUGUCUUACUGUGGUGGAGCAGGUAGAUCUACAACUGUCUUACUGUGGUGGAGCAGGUGGAUCUACAAUUGUCUUACUGUGGUGGAGCAGGUGGGUCUACAAUUGUCUUACUGUAGUGGAGCAGGUGGAUCUACAAUUGUCUUACUGUGGUGGAGCAGGUGGAUCUACAAUUGUCUUACUGUGGUGGAGCAGGUGGAUCUACAAUUGUCUUACUGUGGUGGAGCAGGUGGAUCUACAAUUGUCUUACUGUGGUGGAGCAGGUAGAUCUACAACUGUCUUACUGUAGUGGAGCAGGUGGAUCUACAAUUGUCUUACUGUAGUGGAGCAGGUGGGUCUACAAUUGUCUUACUGUAGUGGAGCAGGUGGAUCUACAAUUGUCUUACUGUGGUGGAGCAGGUGGAUCUACAAUUGUCUUACUGUAGUGGAGCAGGUGGGUCUACAAUUGUCUUACUGUAGUGGAGCAGGUGGAUCUACAAUUGUCUUACUGUGGUGGAGCAGGUGGAUCUACAAUUGUCUU